CAUGCGUGAAUGAACGAGCAAACACGGUGUGCUCUCCGGGACCCCGGGCAGGCACACCUGCUCGGCACAUCUGAAUUCCUCCUCUCACCCCGCUGUUCCCUUCCCGUGGGCUGACCUUACCGAGUCUGUUUGCAAACCUGAUUCCGUCUCUCAAAGAUCCCAAUUAUCCGGUCCCAGCUGGUCACCAACUCCGAGAGGCACACCCUGCCCGCCGUGGGAAGCGGUCACGUGUUUAAGGAAAUUCAAGUCUCUCCACAUUGUCCCAACCUCGGGGAGGAUUAGGGAUGAAGAGGAGAGGCGUCUGGCCGGCAGCUGCCUGCUGGAGUUUUUUUUUUCCUCCAGUUUCCUCCUGAGAUGUGCACAGACUCAAAGAAGGAGGGGAAAAAAAAAAAAAAACCUUUCAAAUCACUCCGCGUUUAAAGCGUGUGAAUCCAAUGCUCACCGAGGAAACGGUUGCUGCCUUCAGAAAACUCACAGAGCUGCUGCUCAACCUGUCUUAACUGCUGCUAGUUCAUUGAAGCUGCCACCCCCCCCCCCAUUUCUGACAACCAUUUGCAACCUGGAGCCAGAUCUAGUGUACUGGGGACACAGGGCCUGAUGACGACGGCAGGGGGUGCAUUUUCUGGCAGGGGGGUUGAACGCAUUACAGAACUGGAGAGUUUGGCUCAAAGCUGCCUGGCCAGGAAGCAGAAAGAAACAUAGUAAGUUACAUAAUUUUCAUUGUCCAACUAAGACAAAGAGUUCCAGCUCACUGUGUGGAGGCAGCUGUGGCGGAGAUUUGGAAUCAGGCGAAAAUUUAGAAGGUGAGUCCUCAUGGGGGGAGGGGGGGGAGGGAAGCCGUGGACCAUCCCUAACGGUUUAGAAAGAAACCGGCUUACACCCAAACGCCUGGCCGGCUCUCUGUGAAGUGGGCUGUCCGCCUCUAAGCAAGCAGCUUGUGCACCCCAUCCCCUGGGCCAUUCCUCCCCCUCUCCCCCCUCCCCGGGCUGGGGGAGCAGUUUGUAGGCCAAACCUUCCCCCUCAGAGGCCUUCCACCUCCAAGGACCUUCCCCAGAGCUCCCUCCCAGACAGCCAAGCUGGAGGCGGCUGAGGAGAGGUUGUAGCCCAAAAAGGCCAGCUGUAAGCUAAAAAUUUCUAUGAAAAUUUGCAAUUUAUAUUUUUUUAAAAAAAAAAUCCAUGUGAGUUUUUACAGUUGGUUUCAUAAUGUGUUUAUAGCCAAAAAAAAAAUUGUGUUUUCUUCUUGAAAACUUAGACCAAAAUUGAUGGUCCAAGCGGCUGGGCUGUAUUUAUCCGGUUGGAGCAUCCCUUGGCAGGCGAUGUUGGACCGUCCCCCUACCUCCACAGACACAUCAGUGCUCAUUUGAUGUUGGGCUCUAGAGGACUAAACUGCCUCUCUCUGUUCUUAAUCCACUUGGAACAGAACAUGGUACGUUCCCUGACAGCUGAGGGAGGAGGCUACGUGGCUUGGGCUGGUUGCGUGUUUCUUUUCUUCGGUUCUCGCGAGCGUUUGUGAGCCAGACUUGACUACCCAGAGAGUAACUGCUUCACACGGGUGUAGACGUCAGCGCGGCCACAGAGGCAAGGACCGGGGUCCCUUAUUCAAGAAGGCUCUAUUAAGCCGUGUCUCUGGCUGCCUGUCACCUCUCCGCUGUCCCCUGCAGAGCAUGUCUGGGUGGCACCGGGCAGGGCUGACCUCGCUCAAAUGACAAGGCUCCGAAUGCAAGGGUUGAAGUUUCCCCGUUUGGCACAGGCGCCGCGUAAAACAGGCUAAGAAGCUCUCCAUGCUGACUCAUUGCGCCUUCUGCUCAGUCUGGAUCACGUGGGCCCCUCUUCUUGCCCGGGACUUUGGGGGUAUUAAAAAAGAGGAUUGUGGCACUGGAGAGGCGGCUCAGUGGUUAGAGCACCGGCUGCUCUUGCAGAGGACCCAGGUCUGGCUUCAGGAUUGUCUGUAACUCUGGUUCCGGGGAUCUGACGCCCUCUUCCGGCCUCUGGGAGCACUGCAUGCGUGCGGCGCACACACCGUGCUCUAGAGGGAAGAGCCUCCGGCUGAAUUUAAAGCUGAGCUGGGCCGUCCACAAACGUCGGUGCCUGCCUAGGCCCAAGACUCCAGGCGAGGAUGCGUCUCCUGAAAUUAGGACUCUGAGUGCGUAAGACAGUGCGAUGAAGGAAAAGGAAAACUGUCUCUAAGAAAGCGCUUGAGGCUGACGCCGGCCAACUCUUCCCCAGAAGAGCCUCUGGAUGGCCACAACAGUGAAACUAUUUUAAGAAAUACUCCCUGUCAGCAAGCCAUCAACAUGAGUAAGCUAGCUACAAAUCGGAUCCCCGAAAAACAAGCAGCAUCCGGCUGAACUCCUCUACGCCACCUGUAAAGCGUCAUCACUUAACCCUCGGUCCCCCACCGGGCUCGGUGGCGCAGUCCUGCAAUCCCAGCACCCAGGGAGGCAGAGGCCCGGGUUCUCUGUGAGUUUGUGACCAGCCUGCUCUAUAAAGUGAGUCCAGGACAGCCAAGGCCAAGGCUAUACAGAGAAUGGCAGUGGGGAGCCUUGGCCCAACCAAUGCUUAAGAGGACAUGGCUUGGCUAGUGGGGAGUGCCAGUAGGAGGCCAGCGGAGAGGGGGCCGGAGCAAGGGUCGUGUUCAUCCCCUCCCUUGUCACAGCGUGAGCAUGGAGCUGAGGGGACAGCCCGUGGGAGCUGGUCCUCUCCUUCUACCCCGAGCGUCCUGAGAACGGGGACCUGUACCCACCGAGACGGCUCAUCUGCAUCCUACGGGUCACAUUCUUUCACAAGUGUCCACAGGCCUGCUGGGUGGCCUUCCCCCAGCCCUAGGAUUCGCAGCAAGUUCUAACUCUGACUCCGCCUGUCCCUGACAGUUUGGGUGUGGUGACUCAAGGCCCUGGGAUUUCGUUGGUCCGUUUCUGCUAAGCCAGACCACACCCUUCCUACCUGGUCCUGUCAAUAAACUCUUCUUCAGC